rnacentral:lncRNA from 1 species
AUACCAUGCGAUUCUCCUAUCCGCUGGCAAGUCAUGACAACGGAUGCUGCUCCGCCCCUCAUAACAGAUUCCACGUAGCGGGCCGCGGUGAUGGCCACGUGUCUGCUCCACCAUCUUUCGCAAUCAAUUCCCCUGACCAUGGGCGGCCCACUACCAGGCGGUUGCAAACGUCGCCAUCAAUCCGUUGCCUCCUCCGCCUAUAAAAGGGGGACCCAGAUACGUUAUUCUUUAAGCUCAUUUUUUCCUAUCU